CGUGUGCUGCGGCUGUCGUUCAUCGCUUGUCGCGCUCCAGCGCGAAAGCACCGGAGCACGUUCAGAAGAAGACCAGAGCUUCACGUCCGCCGCCAACUCGUUGCCCUUGUGACAGGAUGGCUUGGAACCCAAAGGCACUGCUCGACCCGGUCAAAGCUAAGAAGGAUGACCAAAAUGCGGACAAACCGAAGCCAGCGGCCUCGGGGGCGCCGCCCUCUGGUGCUCCUGCUGCAGCGCCACCACCCGCAGCGCAGCCGCCGCCGCCCGAGGUCGUGGAAUCCCCAGGCGAGAUGCGCGGA